UACGGAGGGUGCGAGCGUUGUCCGGAAUCACUGGGCGUAAAGGGCGCGUAGGCGGCCUGAUAAGUAGGGGGUGAAAUCCUGCGGCUUAACCGCAGGGCUGCCUUCUAAACUGUCAGGCUAGAGCACAGUAGAGGCAGGUGGAAUUCCCGGUGUAGCGGUGGAAUGCGUAGAUAUGCGGAGGAACACCGAUGGCGAAGGCAAUCCCCUGGGCCUGCACUGACGCUCAUGCACGAAAGCGUGGGGAGCAAACAGG
rnacentral:rRNA from 1 species